rnacentral:rRNA from 1 species
GGAGUUAGCCGGUGCUUCUUCUGUGAGUGAUGUCCUUCCUGCCGGCUAUUAACCCGCAGGCCUUCUUCCUCACUGAAAGUGCUUUACAACCCGAAGGCCUUCUUCACACACGCGGCAUGGCUGGAUCAGGGUUGCCCCCAUUGUCCAAUAUUCCCCACUGCUGCCUCCCGUAGGAGUCUGGGCCGUGUCUCAGUCCCAGUGUGGCUGAUCAUACUCUCAGACCAGCUACGGAUCGUCGCCUUGGUGAGCCGUUACCUCACCAACCAGCUAAUCCGACAUAGGCUCAUCCGAUAGCGCGAGGCCCGAAGGUCCCCCGCUUUCCCCCGUAGGGCGUAUGCGGUAUUAGCCUGGGUUUCCCCAGGUUAUCCCCCACUACCGGGCAGAUUCCUAUGCAUUACUCACCCGUCCGCCGCUCGCCACCAGGGAGCAAGCUCCCCGUGCUGCCGCUCGACUUGCAUGUGUUAGGCCUGCCGCCAGCGUUCAAUCUGAGCCAGAAUCAAACUCUGA